AAACAAAAGAAAAACCCAAUUUUCCCGGUAAGAAAACAGACAGCCGAUUAGUGAAAACCCAGAAACGAAACUAUCGAAGACGGGAGAAUGAUUUCCGUUUGCUCCGCUAGAACAAUUCAAGCUUCACCUUCUCCUAUUCACUUCUUUUUCCCUCCAAAUCGUAGAAGAAUCGGUUCGAAUGUUCUUCGAAUUUCCUCCAAUUUCUCCACUAGAUGCUCCUCCGAUUACGAUGAAUAUAGUGAAGCUCAAUCCGAACGGAUAGCCAAUUACGCCGGAACCAGACUGGAAGAGACCGUGGACGUCAAUCCCGGUAAAGUUCGUCUCGAUUCUUGGAUUUCUUGCCGCAUUAACGGCAUCAGUAGGGCUCGAGUUCAGUCCAGUAUUAGAGCGGGAUUAGUUUCAGUUAAUGGCCGAGUUAUCGAUAAGGUUUCUCACAAUGUAAAAGCUGGGGAUGUGAUCAAUUGUACCAUAUCCGAGUUGCAACCAUUGAGAGCUGAACCUGAAGAUAUUGAUUUGGAUAUAGUUUAUGAAGAUGAACAUGUUUUAGUCGUAAACAAACCUGCUCACAUGGUUGUUCAUCCAGCACCUGGAAAUGCGACAGGAACACUAGUAAAUGCCAUUCUUAACCACUGCAGUCUCCCGAUGGUUGCAACAUCAACUGGGGAAAAUGAGUCGGAUUCAGAUGUUUCCGAUGAUGAGUUCAGUUCAAUUGGAGUUUUUUCUAGAGUUUCUGAGGCGCCUAUUCGUCCUGGUAUUGUGCAUAGGUUAGAUAAAGGAACUAGUGGAUUGCUUGUUGUUGCCAAGGAUGAACAUUCCCAUGCUCACUUAUCUGCUCAAUUUAAGCAACAUUCUAUUGAGAGAGUUUAUAUUAGUCUCACAUGUGGAGUUCCACCUUCAACUGCUGGGCGUAUUGAGAUGCCAAUUUGCCGUGAUCCAAACAAUCGUAUCCGCAUGACUGCAAUAGAUGGAACAAAAAACAAUCCACAUGCAAAGUACGCUGCUAGUAGAUACAAUGUUAUGGAAAUUUUAGCCCAAGGAGGUUCUUCAUUGGUUGAGUGGAGAUUAGAAACAGGCCGCACACAUCAGAUACGUGCACACGCGAAGUAUAUGGGAAUACCAUUACUUGGAGACGAGGUCUAUGGAGGUACCAAGAGCAUGGCCAUGUCGCUGCUUCGAACUAGAGCAUCAUCUAAUUGUCACGGCCAGCUCAUGCAGCUUGUUUCUUCAUUAGAGAGGCCCUGUCUUCAUGCUCUGACUCUUGGGUUUGUACAUCCUCACACAGGGAAGAACAUACGUUUUUCAUGCCCACCCCCAACAGAUUUUACUGAAAUUUUGAGUCAGCUUCGCGAAAUUGGCACACAAAAGUGGCAGGUUACCAAAUCUUAGCUGGGAGCCUCCAGUAUCUGGCAAGUAGACUCGUCAAAUGACUCGAAAAUGAGAUAUCAAGAAGGAAAUGCUCCGAUUGCCCAAUAACUCGAUAUUGAAAUUGAGAUGGAGCAGCAUGCAACAAUAGCAUAAGGUCAGGAGGGGUGUUUCUUCUAUCCAAACCAUCAUGUAAGGUAUCUAGUUAGGGAUAUUAGUAAUAGUAUGGUAUUUGUAAGGGUUAGUUAGAAGUUUGCGUAGUUGGUUAUAAAUAGAGGGAGGGGUGCAUACUUUCCCUCAAUUCCCCUAUUCUCCUCCUAUUUGUAACCAACUAUAUGCUAAUUUCCUAGCUAACUACACUUAUGCCCUUACUAAUACAAUACUAAUACCCGGACCUUAAGUCUACCUUAUCGUUAGUUGCUUGUGUGAAACAUAUGCCUACUCCCCAUGUGCAAUGGAGCCUCAUAUUCAACUUAAUAUUGAUGGUAAGCCACCAUUGCAAUUAAACAUUCGAUUGCAGUAGAAACUCCCUUGAGUGAGUUCAAGUUGGGAGUUUGGGACAUUACAAGUUUAUGAUGGUGAAGAAGUCUGACAAGCUCUUCUUUUUCGAAAAGCCAUUGAUAGGAUUAUGAAUUUGAUUGAUUGAUUGGAUUAAAAUGGAUUGAAUUUGAAUUUGAUUGAUUUUUUUAGAUUCAUUUUUACUAAAUGGAUUGACUGGAUUAUGUGAGAGUUUGACUGAAACUGUGUUGAUUGAAAUAAUGUAAUUAUGAAAUUUGUUGGAUGA